rnacentral:rRNA from 1 species
AUUGAACGCUGGCGGCAGGCCUAACACAUGCAAGUCGAGCGGUAACAGAUUGAUAGCUUGCUAUCAAUGCUGACGAGCGGCGGACGGGUGAGUAAUGCCUGGGAAUAUACCCUGAUGUGGGGGAUAACUAUCGGAAACGAUAGCUAAUACCGCAUAAUCUCUUCGGAGCAAAGAGGGGGACCUUCGGGCCUCUCGCGUCAGGAUUAGCCCAGGUGGGAUUAGCUAGUUGGUGGGGUAAUGGCUCACCAAGGCGACGAUCCCUAGCUGGUCUGAGAGGAUGAUCAGCCACACUGGAACUGAGACACGGUCCAGACUCCUACGGGAGGCAGCAGUGGGGAAUAUUGCACAAUGGGGGAAACCCUGAUGCAGCCAUGCCGCGUGUAUGAAGAAGGCCUUCGGGUUGUAAAGUACUUUCAGUUGUGAGGAAGGCGUUGGAGUUAAUAGCUUUAGCGUUUGACGUUAGCAACAGAAGAAGCACCGGCUAACUCCGUG